CUUAUCAAGAGUGGCGGAGGGAACGGCCCGAUGAAGCCACGGCAACCUGCCUGCAGGCAAGGUGCCAAUUCCGGCGGAAGACGCAAGAUGAG
rnacentral:ncRNA from 1 species